CAUCAUAGUAUAGUAAGGCAUAAAAACUCGUAGUAUAGUAAGGCAUAAAAACAUCAUAGUAUGGUAAGGUAUAAAAAAUUAUAGUAUAGUAAGGCUUAAAAAAGGUUAUAGUAUAGUAAGAAAAAAAACUACAUAGUAUAGUAAGGCAUAAAAAAUCAUAGUAAAAAAGUCAUAGUAUAGUAAGGCAUAAAAACAUCAAAAAAACAUCAUGGUAUAGUUAUGCAUAAAAAAGUCAUAAUAUAGUGAGGCAUAAAAAAUCAUUGUAUAGUAAGACAUAAAAAUGUCAAAAAAUGUAUACGACAGUAUAGUAAGGCAUAAAAACGUCAUAGUCUGGUAAGACAUAAAAAUGUCAUAGUAUAGUAGGGCAUGAAAAUGUCAUAGUAUAGUAAGGCAUAAAAAUGUCAAAAAAACGUCAUAGUAUAGUAAGGCAUAAAAAUGUCAAAAAACAUCAUAGUAUAGUAAGGCAUAAAAACGUCAUAGUAUGGUAAGGCUUAAAAAGUCAUUGUAUAGUAAGACAUAAAAAUGUCAAAAAACGUCAUAGUAUAGUAAGGCAUAAAAAUGUCAUAGUAUAGUAAGGCAUAAAAAUGUCAAAAAAAGUCAUAGUAUAGUUAGGUAUAAAAAGUCAUAGUAUAGAAAGGCAUGAAAAUGUCAUAGUAUAGUAAGGCAUAAAAAUGUCAUAGUAUAGUAAGGCAUAAAAAUGUCAAAAAACGUCAUAGUAUAAUAAGGCAUAAAAACGUAAUAGUAUGGUAAGGCAUAAAAAGUCAUUGUAUAGUAAGACAUAAAAAUGUCUAAAAACGUCAUAGUAUAGUAAGGCAUAAAAACGCCAUAGUAUAGUAAGGCAUAAAAAGUCAUAAUAUAGUAAGACACAAAAACGACAGUAUAGUAAGGCAUAAAAACGUCACAGUAUAGUAAGACAUAAAAAUGUCAUAGUAUAGUGAGGCAUAAAAAGUCAUAGUAUAGUAAGGCAUAAAAUGUCAAAAAACGUCAUAGUAUAGUUAGGUAUAAAAAGUCAUAGUAUAGAAAGGCAUGAAAAUGUCAUAGUAUAGUAAGGCAUAAAAAUGUCAUAGUAAGGCAUAAAAAUGUCAAAAAACGUCAUAGUAUAAUAAGGCAUAAAAACGUAAUAGUAUGGUAAGGCAUAAAAAGUCAUUGUAUAGUAAGACAUAAAAAUGUCUAAAAACGUCAUAGUAUAGUAAGGCAUAAAAACGCCAUAGUAUAGUAAGGCAUAAAAAGUCAUACUUUGGUAAGGCAUAAAAAGUCAUAAUAUAGUAAGACACAAAAACGACAGUAUAGUAAGGCAUAAAAACGUCACAGUAUAGUAAGACAUAAAAAUGUCAUAGUAUAGUGAGGCAUAAAAAGUCAUAGUAUAGUAAGGCAUAAAAUGUCAAAAAACGUCAUAGUAUAGAAAGGCAUAAAAACGUCAUAGUAUGAUAAGGCAUAAAAAGUCAUUGUAUAGUAAGACAUAAAAAUGUAAAAAAAACGUGAUAGUAUAGUAAGGCAUAAAAACGUCACAGUAUAGUAAGGCAUAAAAACGUCAUAGUAUAGUAAGGCAUAAAAAUGUCAUAGUAUAGUGAGGCAUAAAAAGUAAUUGUAUAGUAAGAUAUAAAAAUGUCAUAGUAUAGUAAGGCAUAAAAAUGUAAAAAAAAAACGCCAUGGUAUAGUAAGGUAUAAAAAGUCAUAGUAUAGAAAGGCAUGAAAAUGUCAUAGUAUAGAAAGGCAUGAAAAUGUCAUAGUAUAGUAAGGCAUAAAAAUGUCAAAAAACGUCAUAGUAUAAUAAGGCAUAAAAACGCCAUAGUAUAGUAAGGCAUAAACAGUCAUUGUAUAGUAAGACAUAAAAAUGUCUAAAAAGUCAUAGUAUAGAAAGGCAUGAAAAUGUCAUAGUAUAAUAAGGCAUAAAAACGUAAUAGUAUGGUAAGGCAUAAAAAGUCAUUGUAUAGUAAGACAUAAAAAUGUCUAAAAACGUCAUAGUAUAGUAAGGCAUAAAAACGCCAUAGUAUAGUAAGGCAUAAAAAGUCAUACUUUGGUAAGGCAUAAAAAGUCAUAAUAUAGUAAGACACAAAAACGACAGUAUAGUAAGGCAUAAAAACGUCACAGUAUAGUAAGACAUAAAAACUCAUACUUUGGUAAGGCAUAAAAAGUCAUAAUAUAGUAAGACACAAAAACGACAGUAUAGUAAGGCAUAAAAACGUCACAGUAUAGUAAGACAUAAAAAUGUCAUAGUAUAGUAAGGCAUAAAAAGUCAUAGUAUAGUAAGGUAUAAAAUGUCAAAAAACGUCAUAGUAUAGAAAGGCAUAAAAACGUCAUAGUAUGAUAAGGCAUAAAAAGUCAUUGUAUAGUAAGACAUAAAAAUGUAAAAAAAACGUCAUAGUAUAGUAAGGCAUAAAAACGUCACAGUAUAGUAAGGCAUAAAAACAUCAUAGUAUAGUAAGGCAUAAAAAUGUCAUAGUAUAGUGAGGCAUAAAAAGUAAUUGUAUAGUAAGAUAUAAAAAUGUCA